rnacentral:rRNA from 1 species
AUCUUCAUACCACCCUGAUCAUGCCCAAUCUUGUCUGGUCUUGGAAGCUAAGCAGGGCUUAGAACUUGGAUGGGAGAAAGAUU